CCUACGGGUGGCAGCAGUGAGGAAUAUUGGUCAAUGGACGAGAGUCUGAACCAGCCAAGUAGCGUGAAGGAUGACUGCCCUAUGGGUUGUAAACUUCUUUUAUAUGGGAAUAAAAUGUUCCACGUGUGGGAUUUUGUAUGUACCAUAUGAAUAAGGAUCGGCUAACUCCGUGCCAGCAGCCGCGGUACUACGGAGGAUCCGAGCGUUAUCCGGAUUUAUUGGGUUUAAAGGGAGCGUAGGUGGAUUGUUAAGUCAGUUGGGAAAGUUUGCGGCUCAACCGGAAAAUUGCAGUUGAAACUGGCAGUCUUGAGUACAGUAGAGGUGGGCGGAAUUCGUGGUGUAGCGGUGAAAUGCUUAGAUAUCACGAAGAACUCCGAUUGCGAAGGCAGCUCACUGGACUGCAACCGACACUGAGGCUCGAAAGUGUGGGUAUCAAACAGGAGUAGAUACCCCAGUAGGC
rnacentral:rRNA from 1 species